GUGUAGCUUGGUUGUUUCGCUUUAAUCUUCCCAUCAGGGAGAAAGCAUGCAGGUUGGGGUGACUGGCGUGAUCCACGUCUCCGUUAGCCUUCUGAUGGGUCUCAGUACGGGAUCGUUGGGGAUGGAAGGCACAGCCCACGGUGCAGUAGCUUGGUGCACAGGAAACCGUUAGGCUUCCUUCCGCAGUAGCUCCCUCCAUCCCUUACCUGACUCAUGUCAGGGUUCGUUUGUGACAUCCUCUCCUCUAGCCUGGCCCAGAAGCGGGCAAAGAUUGCAUCUAUUCUGGAUGAGAUGCUGCAUGAGAGGUCUGGUGAAUCUGCUGCGCUGCCCGAACCGGGGCUCAUGUCCCAGGCAUUGUGGCAUCAGCCAUCUAAUGGGGGAUUUUAACUGCAUUUUAGACCCAGAUUUAGACAAAAGAUCAUUGAAAAAAAAGAAAAAAAAAACUGAAAUCUAUUGAAUAAUGCUAAAUUCUUU